UACCAUAUUUUUCCAGACUCUUACACUAAAGGUCUUCAGAAAUGCAGGCGAGUAGUGGAGACCUCGAAUGUUGAAACAGAAGACUGCUCAGUGAACAAAAAGAGGGCACAUAAAAAGCCACCAAGAUUUGUAUCGGAAACUGAUUCUACCUCAGAUGGUAACUAUUCAAAUCACUUUAAAUAAUUUUGUAUAUAUCCACUGAAAACAAAAACAAACAAAAAAAGCAGGAAGAGCCAACAUAAUUAUAAAUAACAAUUUGUGAACUCUAUUUUGAAGCAUGUUUCCAUUUCAGAUGAUGGCAGAGUUUUACCAAAGGAGAAUACAAAUGUGUCAAAACCUCAUCCACCAAAAUAUUCAUCAUUCUCCAGUAUUCAUCCUCUGGACAAGGGUUUGUAUAAAAUACAAGUAUGCUUUUAUGGACAAACACAUCUUCCCAAAUGAAUGAAUGAAUGAAUGAUAUAUAUCUCUCUCUCUCUGCUGGCAAGAAAGAAGGAAUUUUCAGUUAUCUUUCUCAACACUGAAAGUUUUUUUUUUUUUUUUUCAUGUUUAAUUAUAACCUGCGACUCAUUCAUUAAUGCUGAAUCUAUGGCCUGGUUUCACAGACAGGGUUUAGCCUAAGCCAGGAUUAGGUCAUAGUUCUUUCAUAGUAAUUUUUAUAAACAUGCCUUAGAAAAAAACAUUACUGGUGUGCAUCUUAAGACAAAACAAAUGCACUGACAUGUUUUAAGAUCAGUCAGUGCACGUUUCUUUCAGUUGAAAUAGCUCAGAUUUACAUUUUAGUCUAGGACUAGACUUAAGCCUUGUCUAUGAAACAGGGGGUUAAUGUGGCUUUUGAUUUCCGUUUUUCUGCAGAGUUUAGCUCCAACUUUGAUUCGACUCAGCUUCCUUUUAUUAUCAAUUAAUUUCAAUAAUUAAAUUAUUCAAUUAAUCAACAUUGAUUAGCUUAAUCAGGUGUGCUAGAUUAGGGUUGGAGCUAAACUCUGAAGAAGAGUGGCCCUUGAAAACUAGUUUUGAAAUUGCCUAUUCUGUUUAUAUUUAUACAGCAAAUGAAUUGCUGCAGGAGUCAAGCAUAUCACGGCCUCUUGAAGGUAUU
ensembl:lncRNA